rnacentral:rRNA from 1 species
GACGAACGCUGGCGGCGUGCUUAACACAUGCAAGUCGAACGGAAAGGCCCUGCUUUUGUGGGGUGCUCGAGUGGCGAACGGGUGAGUAACACGUGAGUAACCUGCCCUUGACUUUGGGAUAACUUCAGGAAACUGGGGCUAAUAUCGGAUAGGAGCUCCUGCUGCAUGGUGGGGGUUGGAAAGUUUCGGCGGUCGGGGAUGGACUCGCGGCUUAUCAGCUUGUUGGUGGGGUAGUGGCUGACCAAGGCUUUGACGGGUAGCGGGCCUGUGAGGGUGACCGGCCACAUUGGUACUGAGAUACGGCCCAGACGCCUACGGGAGGCAGCAGUGGGGAAUAUUGCACAAUGGGCGGAAGCCUGAUGCAGCAACGCCGCGUGCGGGAUGACGGCCUUCGGGUUGUAAACCGCUUUCGCCUGUGACGAAGCGUGAGUGACGGUAAUGAGUAAAGAAGCACCGGCUAACUACGUG